rnacentral:rRNA from 1 species
UACGUAGGGGGCGAGCGUUGUCCGGAAUUACUGGGCGUAAAGGGUACGUAGGCGGCUAGGUAAGUCAGGUGUGAAAUCCAUGGGCUCAACCCAUGUAAGCACUUGAAACUGCUUAGCUUGAGUUAAGGAGAGGAAAGCGGAAUUCCUGGUGUAGCGGUGAAAUGCGUAGAUAUCAGGAGGAACACCAGUGGCGAAGGCGGCUUUCUGGCCUUGGACUGACGCUGAGGUACGAAAGCGUGGGGAGCAAACA